rnacentral:rRNA from 1 species
UACGUAGGGUGCAGCGUAUGAAUGAUCUGGGCGUAAAGCGUGCGCAGGCGGUUAUGCAAGACAGAGUGUAAAUCCCCGGGCUACACUGGGAAUGCCUUUGUGACUGCAUAGCUGGAGUGCGGCAGAGGGGGAUGGAAUUCCGCGUGUAGCAGUGAAAUGCGUAGAUAUCGGAAGGAACACCAGUGGCGAAAGCGGCUUCCUGGUCCAGCACCGACGUCAGGCACGAAAGCGUGGGGGAGCAAACAGG